rnacentral:lncRNA from 1 species
AACUUCUUUUAUAUAAUCCAUCAUGGACCUCAGAAUGAUAUCCAAGAGAAUAGGCUGAAUAUUAUUUCUAUGAGCAAAAUGAAGACAGGGUUUAUGUUAUUUUUUGUUUUUAUUUUCUCGCUUUUCUAGGUCUAGUACCUUAUUUCAUCAGGAAGAAUCUCUUUUACACUGCUAUUCAUUUUCAGCUAUUUAUUAUUUUUUAACACAGUGCAGUAUCAUCCUAAAUAAAUAAUCAGCAGGUGUUUAAUUAAGUCCUAUUAUAGGUUUAACUCUGAAUAGUACUCAAAUUGUCUAAAAUAAUAUUUCCAGAAUAAGAUUCCUCCCCCACCAAAAAAAAAAAUUGUCAUUUUGCUUUGCAAAGACAGAGAGACAGAGAGAGAGAAAGAGAGAGAGAGAGAAAGGAGCUGAUUUAAAACAAAAGCUGCCUAUCUUUUGAAGAUUCACAGCACUAAAAAGCUAUGAGGAGUUAUGCAGUGAAAAUCUGUUUAUUUCACUAAGUAUUUCUUAAACUUAUUUGUACCACUCCUUAUAGAAGUAUAGUCACUUCUAUAGAGGCUCAUGACUAAUUUAUAAUACCUGAAGAACACACUACUUGAAGGUUGGUGUUAUAUUUCAGAGUAUCUUUCUGAAGCUUCGUAUGGAUGGCUCAAACUCUUCCACUGUCUGAAAUUUACCUCUUCCCGGUUUCAGGGUCUCUCAGUCACUGAAGGUGAGAGACUGAGAUCAUUUCUAACAAUGCUCUUUCUUCUGGCAAGGCCAACCCAAGUAAGAAUCUGUAUUCCUCCAUUUAAUGCAACAUAUCGUCAUGUGUUUUCAUCUUAUGAAAGGGUAAUCUCAAUGCCAGUAGGCAAUGUAACAACCAGGUAUUUUGAAUAAACCAAUGAACAAUUCAGUACUGCAAAACAUUGCAGAAGAGGCUUAUACACAAUAAAUAUUAAAUAGAUGGUAUAUUAUCUAUAAAUUAUUAUUAUUGUUAUUAUUAUUGCCCUGUAAAAAUAGCUUCGUUUUAUGCAAUGCAGGUGUUUUGAAUAUUUGAAUGCAUAUUAUAUUUUCGUAAAUGGAAUAUGAUUAAAGACUUAGUACAGUUGGAUGCCUAAAGGAACUAUAGCUAAAACUUUUGCAAAAUUAAAAUGGAUUACUAUUUGCAAUAUGAUUAUAAUCCCACACAAAAUAACAUAUAGUUUCCUAUUACUUUCAGUAUUCUGAAAAUGAGUAUAUAACAUAAUUAUGAUAGGGCAUCCAUAUAUGGUGUAUAAUGUUCAAAAUGUAAAAAAAAAUCUGGUUAACCGACUUGAAAGUGACAAAUUCAUAAAGGAUAUGAGAAGCGAUUAAGACUGUAAAGGGAAUAUCAGUACAUUUUGAAGUUUUCCCUUUCAGGAAAAUCUUUCUGAAAUUCUACAGCAUGUUUUAUGGUUGAGGCAUUUAUUCAGGGAAAUAUUCCCAAAGUCCUAUGCUCUGGAUAUCCAUUCUCUGAGCUUUUGCCUUUACAUGCUUGUUAUACACUGAUGACAUUUUAAUCCUGGAAAUGUAUUGUCUCCAUAACUGAACACCUGCCACAAGGCACAACAUUAGACUCAGAACAUGCAUUCAAAUAUCCUAGGGUCAAUUUAUUAGAAGUUAUCAGAGCACAUUGCUCAAAAACAGAAAAAUUAAUCAAAAUGUCCAAUUUUAGCUUUGCUAGCAACAGCAGGGCACAACAGACUGCAGAACUGAUUAGUUACUUAUUAAAUAAGAACAGUGGUGACAGAGUUUUAAAAUAUCAAAUUAGCCUAGCAGAACUCCCAGCAAAAUGGAAAACCCUAAGCACAAGUUGGGCUAUAGACACAGCAGGGGCCCAUCUAUGGAAGGUGGCAGUAACUAAGGCUCUGGCAGAUGCUGCUCCUGCAAAACUUUAUACUCUUGGGCUUAAAGAGUUAUUCUGGUUUGUUCCACUUUCAGUGAUUGUAUCCCCUGCACAAUUUAUCCACUUGGUCUGAAAUGAUAGGAGGGAAAUCAAGGACCCUCUGGGCCUUACACCUGGUCCAGAAUAUGCUCCCCUAUCUGGCUAUUCAGAAACCAAGAUGCAACCAAACUUGGCCACAAGGCAAGCCACUGGGCGGCAUCACCAGAUGUUAUUCCUAGCCUAUACAGAAUAAGUAAAUGAAUAAAUAAAAGUGAUCACGUAUUCCACCAAUGUUAUACAUAUAUUACUACUCACCAUUAAUGGCUAGCAACUAGCUAUCUGACAAAGUUGGAUCAGUUGUUUCCAGAAGUUAGGUAAUAUGAGCUAAGGAUCUGUGCAGCUAGCUGCUUCCUGUGAGAUGAGAAUUCACAUAUGUGGAAUGCUGCCCAUGAACCCUGAAUACUGAUAUUUAAUUUUGAAAGAUUGUUGAAGAGGUUGUAAUACAACUUCCUCUGGAGCUUAGCAUCAUCCCAAUCUUGGGGCUAAAUAUACGGUUAACUAUUCAAUGUCUUUCAUUUUAUCAUCUAUAGUGUCCUUUAGUGAACCUUAGGAAGGACCAACAUCUGUCUUUUGGCAUCCAGCUGAGUCCAACAAGGCAAGCAAAGGGAAAAACAAAACAAAAAAACAAACAAAAAAAUAGCAGCAAAGGAGUUAAAGAGAGAGUGUCAAGUCCAUAAUCUCCUCUGUGCUGCUAACUCCUCCAAAUAGAAGCAGCAUUUUAUGAUGAAGUCAUCCCCAGGUUCCCACAUGCCCUGGAAGAGAUUGGCUGUCUUUCCAAAGCUUUUCACCUAUGUAAGGUGUUCAUUAUGAGUCUAGGUUUGGGAAAUGAAGGCUGUUUAUAUCUCAAAUUACCUUCUAGUCGAGCUCUUCUCCACAACUAAUUGGCAUGACCUUGGGUGUAUCUGCUCUUGAAUAUCCUCGACAUCCAUCUGCUAUAAAGAUGAAUUAGUUAUUUAGGUAGCAAUCAGCUUUCCUGGUUUAGCCAAAGUGUGUCCAUUUCUCUUCAGGCCUGUUAAGCUGAGAAUGAACUUUCAAGCUAAUGCACAGUGCAGUCACCACUCUGGAGAUGCCAGACACCUAAAUAUUCUGUAUUCACUGGGGAAAAAAAAAAAGUUCUUUCUAAAAUAGGAAGAUAGGAAGAAGAAGGGAGGAGGGAUGGGGGGGCGGAAGUCAAUAAAAACCUAGAGAUUCAAUUAAGAGUUUAGGUGUCUGCCAGCUUUUAUUAGCUCCAACUUUGACUUAUAUGACUGAGGUCAGCAAGCGAUCAGUGUGGAUGCAAGGAGGCCAGAGGAAUUGCAUCAGGGCCUUGGAUACAGGGAAGACCAAGUCUCCUAAAUGGGUAGCAAGAGAUGAUUGGCUCUAAGGAUAGGAAAAUCACAAGGUAUUUUAGGGGAAAGCUGAAUGCUCAGUGUUUAUUCCUUGGAAAGCAUACAUUUCUCUGCAAGCCUAUAGCCAACAUGUCGGACUCCCCCUCUGUCACAUGGCAGGUCAAGUUUACCAUGAAAAUCCUUCAGGUCAUUCUUCCUUCUCCCCAUGUGCACACAUACCCAAUCCUUAAAGAGAGAAAAGUUUUGUUGUCCAUGCCUGAAUUAAGAUAAGACAUAAUCUGAAGUAUUUGGAAUCUGUUUCUAGUAACAAAGUAUGAAAUAAUGUCUCAUUUUUGAGUUCUUUUGUUUAUUUUUUUUUUGCUUUUUAGGGCCACACCUAUGGCAUAUGGUAGUUCCCAGGCUAGGGGUUGAAUUAGAGCUACAGCUGCUGCUGGCCUACGCCACAGCCACAGCCAUGCAGGAUCCGAGCUGUGUCUACGACCCAUACCACAGCUCAUGGCAACGCCGGAUCCUUAACCCACUGAGUGAGGCCAGGGAUUGAACCCACAUCCUCAUGGAUCCUAGUCAGGUUUGUUAACUGUUGAGCCAUGAAGGGAACUCAUCACACAUCUUGAAUGUGAUCUUUGUUCAUUAGGAGAGGAAAAUAAUAUAAAAAAAUACUAGGUACUGGAAUGAUACACAUUCACUGACAUAUUUUAGCCCAGAAUGUCCACAGAGCAACAAAGAUCAUAGUCAAAAAAACGGAUAAUAUUUCAUAUUGAAAAAAGUGAAUAGCCUUGGGCAAACACCACAGUCAAUGUUUUGGAGCUAAAAAAAAAAAAAAAAAAUGGAGGCUAAGUGGGACAGCUUCCUCACUUGAAAUAACCCAGCUGCUUUUAUUUCACAUCCCAGUCUUCUGGUUUUAAGUGUACUCCUGUCACUAUAUAUCCAUGCAGCAAAAAACUAGACAUGUAUUGAGUACCUAUUGCAUGGAAGUCAGUAUCCUUGAUAUAGGGGAUCCAACAGUGUGUAAAAAAAAAAAUCCAUGGUUUCACAGAUCUAACAUUUGACAGUGUUCCUCAUAUUGUGCUUAGUUUUCUUCUUAAGACUUGAGGACAACAUGUCAGUGGCAUUUUCUUGGUUUGUUUGCUUAUUUGUUUUUAUGUCAAAACUUCUCGAUUACUUGGGGUCACGUUAUGCUCAAGAGAGUCGUGUUGAUUUUGUUUCAUCCAAGUACUUAUUUUUAAAUACCCAUUAGAUGGUAGUGACUGGUAUUAGGCACUGUGAUACAUAAAUAAAACUAAGACCAUGAGAUUUGGAAAGAGGAUGCCUCAGAGAUUUUAAGGAAAUAACAGGGAUUCUGAUUUAAACUAGAGGACUGAACAAGGGUUUACCACAUCUCCCCUUAAAACGUCAUUAUUUUGAAAUAAACAUUUUGUGAAAAACAUAAGGUCCCAAGGACAAAGGUAAUAAGAUAGAAAGCAACAGAAGGCAAAGAAUGGGAUCACAUGUAGCAGGUGGGAAACUGUUGGAUGAGACAAAACUGACCUAUCAUAUAGGGGAAAGCUGAAUGCUCAGUGUCUCUAGGUGUAUGUAGGUGGAUGGAUAAUACAAAGAGGCAGACCAACUUGUGAUUCAGAACCCUGGGAGGAUCCAAGAAUUGAAACAUGAAGCAGGUCAGCAGUUAGAGUGAUUUUGGGGACAAUGGACAGGAGGAUUUUUUGGAAAUCUGUAUGCGAUACAUUUUACUUCCAGCUCUCAUCUUUCACUGCAUAGUGCCAAUGGCACCACAUUCCUGUCCUCGGCAGAAUACUAACAUUUCAGUCUCUGGAAGAGCUGAAUUAGAGAGAUUGUUCAGGGGACACUGAAUAAAAUCAUACGAAUUAAGUAACCGUCCUCCUUGAGUCCCUUCCACAUGCAGCUCCAUUCCCUUAUCAGACUCUACAGAGGGCAGUUUCUGAGGCAGCACUCAAUAUUCCCCCCUUUUCAGUAACCAAGCCCAUGUGGAUAACUCCCUCCCCUCCCCAGUGUGUGGGCUGGGCCUAGGGACUUGCUUCUAAUGGAUAAAAUAUGGCAAAGUAAUGGGAUGUCACUUCCAUCGUUAAGUAACAACGACUGUGACUGUGUCUUGCUGGCAUUCUGUUGGUGUUUUCCUGACUUCUUACUUACUCAGUCUGAUGAUGCAAGCUCUGUGGACAGUUCCACUUAGAAAGAAACUAAGGAAGCCCUCCAUCCAGCAGCAAGCGAGGAAAUACAUCCCACCAACAACCAUGUGAGUGAGCUAGAAAGAGCCUUCUCAGUCAAGCUCUAAGAUGACUGCAGACUUCUAAGGUGGUCAGAUGGCCUGGUUUUCCCAGGACUGAGGGGUUUUCUGGGAUACCGCACUUUUACGGCUAAGACUAAGAGAAUGCUGGGCAAAUUGGGAUGGAUGUUCACCCUACUUGUGAGAGAUCCAGGGCCAGAAGCCCCAGCUCAGCUGCACCCACAUUCCUGACCCCAGAAACUGUGACGUAAUAAAUGUUGUUAUUUUAAGUCACUGAUUUGGGGGCUAAUUUGUUAUAUAAUUAUAGAUAACGAAAAUAGACUAUCAGAGCACUGAUACCCAGAGUUACAGCAGCAAGGCAAGAUAUCUGACUACUUCUCAUGAUAAAAGGAUGACCAUAAGAGAAAAGGUCCAUCAUUCUUACAACCAGUGGUUUUCCUAAGAAAAUUCUAAGAUUCCUAUCUAAGUAUUCUAAGAUGAAGUCUACCUCUUGUCAAGACCUACUUGUGCAUGGAGAAUGUCCUAAAAACAUUUUAACAUUUCCCUUUUAAGGGAACUGAUAGCCAAGAUUAAAAUAAAAUUUUAAAGAAAGCUUCUAAUAUAAAGGUCAAAAAGCAAAGAAAAUGUACAGAAAAAAAAAAGUGAUGAAAGAGAAUGUAGAGAGCAAAAGAAAACUUCCCUGGAAUUACUAAUGUACCCAUUAGCAUACUCAAAACUGUAAAAGAAAAGAGUGCAGUCAUAAAAUCAGGACAAAUGCUAUAAAAGGAGCAUUAAUAGAAUAAAUAAUCUUGGAAAUGAAGAAUAUGAAACAUAUUAAAUCUUCACAGAAGUGUUAAAAGAUAAAGGCAACUUUCUCAGAAACCUGAAUAAAAAGACAAGAGUUGAAGUCAUAAAAGAAGACAGAAUUAAAUUAAAGCAUCAGUCGAAGAUUAAUAGGAAUACCAGACAACCAGAGAAUUAAGAAAAGAAAGAAAAAAAAAUAUCCAAUAAUUUUUUUUAGAAAAAUCCAACUUAGACUUCAACAAGAGUUGAAGUCAUAAAAGAAGACAGAAUUAAAUUAAAGCAUCAGUCGAAGAUUAAUAGGAAUACCAGACAACCAGAGAAUUAAGAAAAGAAAGAAAAAAAAAUAUCCAAUAAUUUUUUUUAGAAAAAUCCAACUUAGAAGCCACCAAGCACC